rnacentral:rRNA from 1 species
GACGAACGCUGGCGGCGUGCUUAACACAUGCAAGUCGAACGGAAAGGCCCUGCUUUUGUGGGGUGCUCGAGUGGCGAACGGGUGAGUAACACGUGAGUAACCUGCCCUUGACUUUGGGAUAACUUCAGGAAACUGGGGCUAAUACCGGAUAGGAGCUCCUGCUGCAUGGUGGGGGUUGGAAAGUUUCGGCGGUUGGGGAUGGACUCGCGGCUUAUCAGCUUGUUGGUGGGGUAGUGGCUUACCAAGGCUUUGACGGGUAGCCGGCCUGAGAGGGUGACCGGCCAAAUUGGGACUGAGAUACGGCCCAGAAUUCUACGGGAGGCAGCAGUGGGGAAUAUUGCACAAUGGGCGGAAGCCUGAUGCAGCAACGCCGCGUGCGGGAUGACGGCCUUCGGGUUGUAAACCGCUUUCGCCUGUGACGAAGCGUGAGUGACGGUAAUGGGUAAAGAAGCACCGGCUAACUACGUG